GACGUAGGGCGCGAGCGUUGUCCGGAUUUAUUGGGCGUAAAGAGCUCGUAGGCGGCUCAUUGCGUCAACCGUGAAAACCAGCAGCUCAACUGUUGGCUUGCGGUUGAUAUGGGUGGGCUGGAGUUCGGUAGGGGAGACUGGAAUUCCUGGUGUAGCGGUGAAAUGCGCAGAUAUCAGGAGGAACACCGGUGGCGAAGGCGGGUCUCUGGGCCGAUACUGACGCUGAGGAGCGAAAGCGUGGGGAGCGAACAGG
rnacentral:rRNA from 1 species